UGGGGGAUAUUGCACAAUGGGCGAAAGCCUGAUGCAGCGACGCCGCGUGGGGGAUGAAGGCCUUCGGGUUGUAAACUUCUUUUGCUCUGAACAAGGCAUGCCUUUGGGGUGUGUUGAGUGUAGGGGUUGAUUAGCGCCGGCUAACUACGUGCCAGCAGCCGCGGUAAUACGUAGGGCGCGAGCGUUGUCCGGAAUUAUUGGGCGUAAAGGGCUUGUAGGAGGCUGGUUGCGUCUGUCGUGAAAGCUCAUGGCUUAACUGUGGGUUUGCGGUGGGUACGGGCUGGCUUGAGUGCAGUAGGGGAGGCUGGAAUUCCUGGUGUAGCGGUGGAAUGCGCAGAUAUCAGGAGGAAUACCGGUGGCGAAGGCGGGUCUCUGGGCUGUUACUGACGCUGAGGAGCGAAAGCGUGGGGAGCGAACAGG
rnacentral:rRNA from 1 species